CCUACGGGAGGCAGCAGUGGGGGAUAUUGCACAAUGGGGGGAACCCUGAUGCAGCGACGCCGCGUGGGUGAAGAAGCGCCUCGGCGCGUAAAGCCCUGUCAGCAGGGAAGAAAAUGACGGUACCUGAAGAAGAAGCCCCGGCUAACUACGUGCCAGCAGCCGCGGUAAUACGUAGGGGGCAAGCGUUAUCCGGAUUUACUGGGUGUAAAGGGAGCGUAGGCGGCAGGGCAAGCCUGAUGUGAAAGCCCGGGGCUCAACCCCGGGACUGCAUUGGGAACUGCCCCGCUCGAGUGCCGGAGGGGCAG
rnacentral:rRNA from 1 species